GGAGAGGAGAGGGAGAGGUUCUGGGAAGAAGCAAAAAAUAUAUAAAAAAAGAGGGAGAGGAGCCCAGGAAGAGGAGCAACACCCCCAGGACUGCACCCCGGACAUGCCCUCCUGUGCUUUAAUGUGAAAUGACAUCCAAACUGGAGAGA